UCGUAGGCCUGCUGAGGACAGAUGAAGUGAAUGUGCGUGUCCAAUCCUCCAGCCGUAAUGAUCUUGCCCUCGCCAGCAAUCACGUCGGUACAACUUCCUACAAUCAUGCCCUCUGUGACACCGUCCAUGACGUCUGGAUUGCCAGCUUUUCCAAUGCCCACGAUGAAGCCGUCUUUCACGCCAAUGUCGGCCUUGUAUAUGCCAGUAUAGUCGACGAUUAGAGCGUUUGUCACAACCAUAUCCAGCGUGAUCUUGUCCGAUCUACCCGUGGCUUGACCCAUACCUUCGCGA
rnacentral:sRNA from 1 species